rnacentral:rRNA from 1 species
ACCUGCCCCUGUCAGGGGGACAACCCGCCGAAAGGCGGGCUAAACCCGCGUACAUGCCACCGGGGCAUCCCGGAGGCAGGAAAGGCUUCGGCCGGACAGGGAUGGGCAUGCGGCGCAUUAGGCAGUAGGCGGGGUAACGGCCCACCUAACCGACGAUGCGUAGGGGUUCUGAGAGGAAGGUCCCCCACACUGGUACUGAGACACGGACCAGACUCCUACGGAAGGCAGCAG